AUGGUUUCGCCGGCGACCAGCGGUGGCCGUGGCGGCAAUGCGGGCCUCGCCGACCCGCUGCUUGCGACGAACGACGACAGCGACGGAGCACGGCAUGUGUUCGGCGCCAAGGCGAAGUACUGGGCUCCCGCCGACGAGAAGGAGAUGACGGCGUCACGGGAGUGCAGCGGCGAGGACGGCCGGCCGCUGUUGUACCGCACGUUUAAAGUCAAGGGCUUCCUUGUGAACACCUACAGGUUCUUGAACUUGGCCAGACUUACGGCGGUCAUCGUGUUUUUCGCAUGGCGUGUGCAGCACCCAGAUUCCGACGCAAUGUGGCUGUGGUGGAUCUCGGUCGUCGGAGAUUUCUGGUUCGGCCUGAGCUGGUGGCUAAACCAGGUCCCGAAGCUCAACCCCACCAUAUGCAUCCCCACGAUCCCCCUCCUGAGACAGCAGUUCGACCUGCCCGACGGCGGCUCCAACCUGCCCGUCCUGGACGUGUUCAUCAGCACCGUCGACCCUGUGGAGGAGCCCAUGCUCCACACCAUGAACUCCAUCCUCUCCAUCCUCGCCACCGACUACCCGGUCGACAAGUACGCCACGUACCUCUCGGACGACGGCGGAUCGCUGCUCCACUACGACGGGCUGGUCGAGACCGCCAAGUUCGCCGCCCUGUGGGUUCCGUUCUGCCGGAAGCAUCACGUUGAACCAAGGGCGCCGGAGAGCUACUUCGGGAUGAAGAUCCGCCCGUACACGGGGAAUCUGCCCGAAGAGUUCCUCGAUGACCAUAGGCGUUUGCGGAGGGAGUACGAGGAGUUCAAGACGCGCCUGGACGCACUGUUCACUGUCAUCCCGCAACGGUCAGAGGCGCACGGCCGUGAAGACGCCAAAGGAGGAGGAGGGAAGGCGACUUGGAUGGCGGACGGGACACAGUGGCCUGGCACAUGGACUGAGCCGGCUGAAGGUCACCGGAAAGGAGAUCACGCUGGAAUUAUUCAGGUACAAAUUCGAAUGGGGAAACAAACCAAAUAUGGUGAUUUCGUCGCCGCUGACAUGAUUGUUCAACAGGUUAUGCUGUCCCAGCCAAGCAGCGAGCCUCAGCUCGGCGAGCCAGCAAGCUCCGACGACGGUCCGCUGGAUUUCAGCGCCGUCGACGUGCGGCUGCCGAUGCUGGUGUACGUGUCCCGGGAGAAGCGCCCGGGCUAUGACCACCAGAAGAAGGCAGGCGCGCUGAACGUGCAGCUGCGCGUCUCCGCUCUGCUCUCCAACGCGCCCUUCAUCAUCAACUUCGACUGCGACCACUACAUCAACAACUCCCAGGCCUUCCGCGCCGCCAUGUGCUUCAUGAUGGACCGGCGCGACGGCGACAACGUCGCCUUCGUCCAGUUCCCGCAGCGCUUCGACGACGUCGACCCCACGGACCGGUACGCCAACCACAACCGCAUGUUCUUCGACGCCACCAUGCUUGGCAUGAACGGCAUCCAGGGGCCCUCCUACGUCGGCACCGGCAGCAUGUUCCGCCGCGUCGCGCUCUACGGCGCCGACCCGCCUCGGUGGCGCCCGGACGACGUCAAGGUGCUGGAGAACCCCAACAAAUUCGGCAAGUCGAUGACGUUCAUCAACUCCAUACCGGUGGCCGCGAACCAGGAACGGUCCGUCAUGUCGCCGGUGUCGCUUGACGAGCCGGCAACGACGGAGCUGGCCGACGUCAUGACGUGCGCGUACGAGGACGGGACGGAGUGGGGCGAUGGCGUCGGGUGGGUGUACGACAUGGCGACGGAGGACGCGGUGACCGGCUUCCGGCUGCAUCGGACGGGGUGGCGGUCCAUGUACUGCGACAUGGAGCCCCCCGCGUUCUGCGGCACGGCCCCGAUCAACAUGACGGAGCGCAUGUACCAGAUCCUGCGCUGGUCGGGGGGCUCCUUGGAGGUGUUCUUCUCCCGUUUCUGCCCGCUCCUCGCCGGCCGUCGGCUCCACCCCAUGCAGCGCGUCGCCUACACCAACAUGACGUUCUACCCGCUCUCGGCGCUCUUCGUCGUCUGCUACCACCUCUUGCCGCUGAUGUGGGUCUUCAACGGCCGGUUCUACAUCCAGAAGCCCUACCCGACGUACGUGAUGUACGUCCUCAUCAUCAUCAUCUCCAACGAGGUGAUCGGCAUGGUGGAGAUCGUGUGGGCGGGGCUCACGUUGCUCGACUGGUUCCGCAACGAGCAGUUCUACAUGAUCUGCGCGACGGGCGUGUACCCGACGGCGGUGCUGCACGUCGUGCUCAGGUCCCUCGGCCUGAAAGGCAUAUCCUUCAAGAUGACGGCGAAGCAGCUGGCCACCGGCGCGAGGGAGAGGUUCGCCGAGCUGUACGACGUGCAGUGGGCGCCGUUGCUGAUACCCACACUGGUGGUGAUCGCCGUGAACGUGGUUGCCAUCGGCGCGGCGGUGGGGAAGGCGAUCACCUGGGGCUGGUCGGCCGGGCAGGUCGUCGAGGCGGCCAGCGGGCUCAUGUUCAACGUGUGGAUCCUGCUCAUGUUCUACCCGUUCGCGCUCGGGGUUAUUGGGCGCUGGGGCAAGAAGCCCUAUGUCCUCUUCGCCAUGUUUGUGGCCGCGUUCGCUGCCAUUGCGGCGGUGUAUGUCGCCGUCCAGGCGGCGCUCGCUGGCAACCUGCCGUACUUCCAGCUGGGACACUGGUCGAUCGGCGGUGCCGUUUCUCUGCCAAGCCGGCGGGUUUAG
rnacentral:rRNA from 1 species